rnacentral:rRNA from 1 species
CGGUGAUAAACCGGAGGAAGGUGGGGACGACGUCAAGUCAUCAUGGCCCUUACGUCUGGGGCUACACACGUGCUACAAUGGCCAACACAAAGGGCUGCGAGCCAGCGAUGGUAAGCCAAUCCCAAAAAGUUGGUCCAAGUUCGGAUUGCAGUCUGCAACUCGACUGCAUGAAGUCGGAAUCGCUAGUAAUCGUAGAUCAGCCAUGCUACGGUGAAUACGUUCCCGGGCCUUGUACACACCGCCCGUCACGCCAUGGAAGCCGGGAGUGCCCGAAGUCCGUGACCCAACCCUCGGGAGGGAGCGGCCGAAGGCAAAUUCGGUAACUGGGGCGAAGUCGUAACAAGGUAGCCGUAGGGGAACCUGCGGCUGGAUCACCUCCUUU